rnacentral:rRNA from 1 species
UACGUAGGGGGCAAGCGUUGUCCGGAUUUAUUGGGCGUAAAGAGCUCGUAGGUGGUUCGGUAAGUCGGAUGUGAAAUCUCCAGGCUCAACCUGGAGGGGUCAUUCGAUACUGCCGUGACUAGAGGUCGGUAGGGGAGUGUGGAAUUCCUGGUGUAGCGGUGGAAUGCGUAGAGAUCCCCAAGAACACCAGUUGCGAAGGCGGCUGACUGGACACAUAUGACGCUGAGG